rnacentral:lncRNA from 10 species
AUAAUAAAUGAAGAACGGGAAUCAAAAUAAUAUUCCUUGAAAACAAUAGUAGCCUUGAUUAAUUUUGUAUUGUACUAAAUUGAUUACAAUUCAGACACCAGAAGUUUUGCAAAGGAUGAAUUGAAGAAGAAGAAAAGAAACAAUAAGAUAAAAGAAUUAAAUAUUAGUAGCAGUGUACUGAAUAAGCAGGGACAGCCCAAGAAUGGUGAGACAUGAUGGAAAGAUCAUUAGUUUGGAAAUUAGAAAACAGAGAUUUCAAAUCAAUGAUAUAACCAUUAAUAACAAUAGUGAUUGUAAUAGUUCUUGUUAGCGUGUUCUGAGUAAUUUCAAUGAACCUAGCAUUGGGUAUUGUUUUGUAUCUUUAUAUGUAUGGCUUAAAAUUAAACCACUUUAAAUUUUGUUUUUAGCUAUGCGAUCUCAAGCAAUUUGCAACUUUCUUGGUGUCAGGUUUCUCACCUGAAAAAUGGGGCUUUGGACUGGGUGGCUUUUUCCAAGAUAUCAUGUGCUCUUAUUUUCUCUUCUGAAUUUUUCUUUACUCUCUAGGCAAAUGUAUCUCUAAUUCUGCUAAGUCCCUACAGUAUUCCUUUUUUUAUAACUCACUUUGGAAUACCUUAAAUACAUCCAUUAGCAUAACUUAUUAUAAUUUAUAUGUUGGCUCAACAGGAAGUCAGGUACAAACUCAGGUCCAUCCAUCACACAACAAAUACUCUCUGUAACUGUUCGGUUGCUCUUUGGGUUUCUUCCAGCUUCCUCUUCAGGCUCUGCUGUGGACUUCUUUUCUCUCCGUGUCACAAGAGGUCUUGCUCUUAUUUUUUGAAGUUUUGGCUAAUUUACAGUGAAAGUAAUAGUUAUCUUUUUGUUUUAAACAAUGAAUUUAAUUCAAAACACUUUGUGCCAAGUCAGGAAUAUUCCAGCAGCCUCACUUGCUUGCUCCUUACCUCUAUGAGGUAAGAGCCAUUUUACAGAUGAGAAGAAUAAGGCAUAUUUAUGGAAUGGUACAUGAUAUAGUGUAGUCAGGGAACAAGGAAUGUUGGUAGUGAGCUGAAGGUUUUGCCUGGAAUAGUAGGUCAGUUAGCAUAAGAGGAGCCUAGAAUGCCUUGGUGGAAAUUUACACAGAAACACUAAAACCAAAAUGUUACAUAUUUUAAGGAGAUCUGAGACCUGAAUGAGGAAAAUGUACGGAAUGGGAAUUUGUUCUUUCUUAGAUUCUGUAUCUGCUCCAUUGCUGUCUUCUUUCUGCUGCUGUUAUAGUUUGGUGCUGCUCAAAGUCUACAAUUCUUCCCCACCCCUGAGUUUACUGCCUUUGUGUUACACUCAAUUUUUGAUCCAUUGACAUUCACAUUAAAGGAUUCCUGCCAUCCUUUUUCUGGCUAGCUUUGUCAAAGUGGAAGGAUUGUCAAUUUCUCAAAGAAAGUCUUUUGCCAUAAGAAAAGAAAAUGACUGUCUUCCUGACAGAAUGGUAUCAGGACCGUCCAGACAGGAGUUUCCUGUAUCUUCAGACUUGGGGCUACUGGUGUUGACAAUAACUCCUACUAAGAAAAUAAUCAUCUAGAAGACUGUCCUAUCUUACAAAAUUAAAGAGAGGACUAGAACACACAAGGAAGAAAGCAAGAUAAUACAUAAAAGGGUACAGGAGUUAAUAGGCACUUCAUUUUACAAUCUUGCUUCUAUAGUUUCUUUAUACUUCUUAUGGUAAGAGUCCCUAGGAAGAAUAUCCACUUUUUUAAGACCUGAGCUUGCCAAGCCAAUGCCAAUCUUUCAUAGAACUUCCUCUGAUCACUAUACUGUGCCAUAAAAUUACUGACAUAUCUGGAGUCUUAUUAGUUAUCAGAUAUACUUUUUCACAGUAGUUCUGAUUUAGUUUCAAAUGACAUAUUUGAGUUGUUAACAUAUGAUGUGCUUUUAGCCAUAUAAUUUGAACAGUAGAGCGAUUUACUUGUACAUUGGAAGGUUACCUUAUUGGAAGGUUACCCUGGUCAUUACCAAUAGGAGCCAGGACUAUAGGAAGCAAGCACCUGGAGUGGUCUUUUUUCCAGGCCAGUCACUACUACAACACUUAUUAGGAGGAGCUAAAAAUGUGCUCUACCAGGCAAUUCUUACCAGUCACCUGUGUCCAAUCCCCUCUUCUCUGUCAAGGUAUUUGUAUAUCCACUACAGUCUUAAUAGUUUAACUGUUUUAUUUCUUCAGGCUGUGAAUCCUUGCAAUUCAGAGAUGAAAGAAGCAGCACGAAAACUAAUUUUGCUGUUAUUCAUGUCUAGUCUGACUUCUCUACACAAAAGUCCAUUUAAAAAAAAAUCUUGAUUUAACCUUUAAAUAUAGGACAUAAAUUUCCAAAUAGAAAACGUUAUGUUAGGUAUUUUAGAAUUCAAAAGGUAAUUGUUAAAUAUCUUGCGAGAGAAAAUGUAUAGUGAUGUUUAAAAAUUUAAUAUAUAUGUAUAGGAUAUAUAUGUGUGUCAGAAAAUGUAUUAAUGAAUUGAAUCCUUUGCUUAACUUCUGGAAAUUGAGAACAUAUACAUAUAUAUGAGUGUGUGUGUAUUUAUUUAUAUUUUCAUAUUUGCCAGCCUAAGAACUACACUUAGAAUGAGAGAUGGAAUUGAGAGAUGUUGAGAUGAAUUGUUUAAGGUCACACAGCACAAAACCAAUUAAAGUCAAGGCAAGGAUGAGGACCCAAGACUGGCUUAUGUCCUACCAAGUGCUUUAUUCACUCUGUAAAUGAUUGCUAAACAUAUUGAACAUGUAGAAAUAUUUAUUAUAAAAAUUUAUUAGGCAUAAUUUAAUAAGCAAAUCUGUUUCAUUUAUUA